AGUUACAAUGUCUGGCAGACUACAGGGCCGAGAAGAAAAAGACGAAAAAAAGUAUGGCGGAGCUUCACCGCGAUCGAGGCGAGCUACCGUCUGUCCCAGCCCCUGCCUCUCGCUCUUAGCUCUUAGCUGAAUGUCCCGCGGGGUCCAAAUUAGAGUGUUCAAAGCAGGCCUGCUCGCCUGAAUACCGCAGCUAGGAAUAAUGGAAUAGGACUCCGGUUCUAUUUUGUGGGUUUUCUCUCUGAACUGGGGCCACGAUUAAGAGGGACGGCCGGGGGCAUUUAUAUUGUGCCGCUAGAGGUGAAAUUUUUGGACCGGCGCAAGACAGACGAAAGUGAAAGCAUUUGCUAAGAAUGUUUUCAUUGAUCAAGAACGGAAGACGAUCAGAUACCGUCGUAGUUCCGACCAUGAACGAUGCCAACUAGCGAUCCGGCGGCGUUAUUCCCAUGACCCGCCGGGCAGCGUCCGGGAAACCAAAGUCUUUGGGUUCU
rnacentral:ncRNA from 1 species